rnacentral:rRNA from 1 species
UACGGGGGGGGCAAGCGUUGUUCGGAAUUACUGGGCGUAAAGCGCGCGUAGGCGGUUUUGUAAGUCGGGUGUGAAAUCCCCAAGCUUAACUUGGGAACUGCAUUCGAGACUGCAUAGCUAGAGUAUGGGAGAGGGAAGUGGAAUUUCAGGUGUAGCGGUGAAAUGCGUAGAUAUCUGAAGGAACAUCAGUGGCGAAAGCGACUUCCUGGACCAAUACUGACGCUCAUGUGCGAAAGCGUGGGGAGCAAACAGG